CUUCGGGGUGGAUUAGUGGCGAACGGGUGAGUAACACGUGGGCAAUCUGCCCUUCACUCUGGGACAAGCCCUGGAAACGGGGUCUAAUACCGGAUAACACUCUGUCCCGCAUGGGACGGGGUUAAAAGCUCCGGCGGUGAAGGAUGAGCCCGCGGCCUAUCAGCUUGUUGGUGGGGUAAUGGCCUACCAAGGCGACGACGGGUAGCCGGCCUGAGAGGGCGACCGGCCACACUGGGACUGAGACACGGCCCAGACUCCUACGGGAGGCAGCAGUGGGGAAUAUUGCACAAUGGGCGAAAGCCUGAUGCAGCGACGCCGCGUGAGGGAUGACGGCCUUCGGGUUGUAAACCUCUUUCAGCAGGGAAGAAGCGAAAGUGACGGUACCUGCAGAAGAAGCGCCGGCUAACUACGUGCCAGCAGCCGCGGUAAUACGUAGGGCGCAAGCGUUGUCCGGAAUUAUUGGGCGUAAAGAGCUCGUAGGCGGCUUGUCACGUCGGAUGUGAAAGCCCGGGGCUUAACCCCGGGUCUGCAUUCGAUACGGGCUAGCUAGAGUGUGGUAGGGGGAGAUCGGAAUUCCUGGUGUAGCGGUGAAAUGCGCAGAUAUCAGGAGGAACACCGGUGGCGAAGGCGGAUCUCUGGGCCAUUACUGACGCUGAGGAGCGAAAGCGUGGGGAGCGAACAGGAUU
rnacentral:rRNA from 1 species